AUAAAAUAGGCUCCUGUAGAUUAUAACAAGCUAUUAAAAGAGCAGGAGAUAAGACAUUUUAAAUUAAGCAUAAUUUGCACUAAAGGAAGUGUAAACAGUAGUUGACUCUUUACAGGAAGUGUUUAGGAAGGAUGUAUAGGUCACAUGCAGCGUGGUGUGCCUAAGGCUAUAUAAACAAAGUGAUUUAACUCCUAAAUGGCAGAGAAUUGAGCAGUGAGUCUGCAAAGGCAUGAUUUAUACACAAAAAUGACUUAAUUAAGCUAAAAUUGUUUUGGUGACUCUAGAGUCCCUUUAAUGAGGUUUUGAUUUUGUCUGAUUCCCAUAGAUGACCAUAUGCUCACUCUGUGCACAUUACAUUUCCAUAAGUGAAAAGUUACGCUACCCCCUCCUGCAUUUAAAGAGGAACUGUGUUUGAUUUUAGCACAACAAAAAGGUAAACAUUUUCCAAAAUGUUUUAUAUUUCCAAGACUGGGCAUAGACGUAAAUUGGUGAAAGGUUAACUGGUAUAGGUAUGCAAUAUUUAAGCAUGUGGCACUGCUGGA